UUAUGGCUCAGGAUGAACGCUAGCGAUAGGCCUAACACAUGCAAGUCGAGGGGCAGCACAUGAGUAGCAAUACGAUGGUGGCGACCGGCGCACGGGUGAGUAACACGUAUGCAACCUACCUCUAACAGGGGGAUAACCCGUUGAAAGACGGACUAAUACCCCAUAAUACAGGGGCUCCGCAUGGAGAUAUUUGUUAAAGAUUUUAUCGGUUAGAGAUGGGCAUGCGUUCCAUUAGCUAGUUGGUGAGGUAACGGCUCACCAAGGCGACGAUGGAUAGGGGAACUGAGAGGUUUAUCCCCCACACUGGAACUGAGACACGGUCCAGACUCCUACGGGAGGCAGCAGUGAGGAAUAUUGGUCAAUGGAGGCAACUCUGAACCAGCCAAGUCGCGUGAAGGAUGAAGGUCUUAUGGAUUGUAAACUUCUUUUGCAGGGGAAUAAAUAGCGGUACGUGUACCGUUUUGCAUGUACCCUGCGAAUAAGGAUCGGCUAACUCCGUGCCAGCAGCCGC
rnacentral:rRNA from 1 species